rnacentral:rRNA from 1 species
AGAGUUUGAUCCUGGCUCAGGAUGAACGCUAGCGGGAGGCUUAACACAUGCAAGUCGAGGGGUAAGGCUCUUUCGGGAGUACACGACCGGCGCACGGGUGCGUUACGCGUAUGCAACCUACCUCUAACAGGGACAUAGCUCUCGGAAACGAGAAUUAAUAUCCCAUAAUAUUCUGAAUUCGCAUGUUUUCAGGAUUAAAGCUCCGGCGGUUAGAGAUGGGCAUGCGUGACAUUAGCUUGUUGGUGAGGUAACGGCUCACCAAGGCUGCGAUGUCUAGGGGGUCUGAGAGGAUGAUCCCCCACACUGGUACUGAGACACGGACCAGACUCCUACGGGAGGCAGCAGUGAGGAAUAUUGGGCAAUGGACGCAAGUCUGACCCAGCCAUCCCGCGUGCAGGAUGAAUGCUCUAUGAGUUGUAAACUGCUUUUAUACAGGAAUAAACCCCCCGACGUGUCGGGGGCUGAAGGUACUGUAAGAAUAAGCAUCGGCUAACUCCGUGCCAGCAGCCGCGGUAAUACGGAGGAUGCAAGCGUUAUCCGGAUUUAUUGGGUUUAAAGGGGGCGUAGGCGGAAUUGUAAGUCAGUGGUGAAAGCCUGCAGCUUAACUGCAGAACUGCCAUUGAUACUGCUUUUCUUGAAUAUAGUUGAGGUGGGCGGAAUGUGUCAUGUAGCGGUGAAAUGCUUAGAUAUGACACAGAACGCCGAUUGCGUAGGCAGCUCACUAAGCUAUUAUUGACGCUGAGGCACGAAAGCGUGGGGAGCGAACAGGAUUAGAUACCCUGGUAGUCCACGCUGUAAACUAUGAUCACUCGCUGUUGGCAAUACAUCGUCAGUGGCUGAGCGAAAGCAUUAAGUGAUCCACCUGGGGAGUACGAUCGCAAGGUUGAAACUCAAAGGAAUUGACGGGGGCCCGCACAAGCGGAGGAACAUGUGGUUUAAUUCGAUGAUACGCGAGGAACCUUACCUGGGCUUAAAUGCAGGACGAUCGGUGCCGAAAGGUGCUUUUCUUCAGACGGCUUGCAAGGUGCUGCAUGGUUGUCGUCAGCUCGUGCCGUGAGGUGUCGGGUUAAGUCCCAUAACGAGCGCAACCCCUAUCACUAGUUGCCAGCGAGUAAUGUCGGGGACUCUAGUGAGACUGCCGGUGUAAACCGUGAGGAAGGUGGGGAUGACGUCAAAUCAGCACGGCCCUUAUGUCCAGGGCUACACACGUGUUACAAUGGCCAGCACAAAGGGCAGCUACUUGGUGACAAGAUGCUAAUCUCUAAAACUGGUCUCAGUUCGGAUCGAAGUCUGCAACUCGACUUCGUGAAGUUGGAUUCGCUAGUAAUCGGAUAUCAGCAACGAUCCGGUGAAUACGUUCCCGGGCCUUGUACACACCGCCCGUCAAGCCAUGGAAGUUGGGGGUACCUGAAGCC